GGUGAACGCUGGCGGCGUGCCUAAUACAUGCAAGUCGAGCGAACGGACGAUAAGCGUUCGUCUCUACGGGUGGCGGGUGGCGGGCGGGUGAGACAUACAUCGCAUUCUUCUAUUACGUGGGGGACAUCGUGGGACAACAGACGCUACUACCGCAUAUGUUCAACCGCAGAAAGCAGAAGAGCAUCAGACUCUUCCUGUCUCAAUUAGAUGAUGUCGCAUUAGCUAGUUGGCGAGGUAAAGGCACACCAAGGCGAGGAUGCGUAGCAGAUCUGAGAGGAUGAUCGGCCACACUGGAACUGAGACACGGUCCAGACUCCUACGGGAGGCAGCAGUAGGGAAUAUUGCGCAAUGGGCGAAAGCCUGACGGAGCCAUGCCGCGUGAGUGAAGAAGGUCUUCGGAUCGUAAAACUCUGUUGUUAGGGAAGAAAAGCUGCGUAAGUAACUGCCGCUAUCCCGACGGUACCCAACCAGAAAGCAACGGCUAACUACGUG
rnacentral:rRNA from 1 species